AGUUUUGGACCAGUUCAACUCAGUUUUGAUCUGAAUUGACCUUGAUCUGCCCCUAAACUGAUUUUUACUUGUACAGCUCAGGGGUUGACAUUACAUUACAAUGGGUACAUACUACACAGUCUGCACCGACCAGUCAAACUUUGGUGACAAGUCAUGGACCAUUGCAUAAUUGCGCCAUUGAAUUGCUUCUGUAGUUUUUUAUGACAAUAGCCUGUGUCAUUGCUAAUCAAUUGUCGGAUUAUGUGAACAAAUGAUUUAAGUUAGGAACAAAUCAUCAUAUUGCCAACAUUUUAUUACAAUCAUCUAAUAAACGUGGAUUCUUCUUUCAGUGGUGAUUCUCCGUGAUCUUCAUUCGUUCAUUUAAAAUGAAAUAUUCCAUUUUCAAGUUAAUGGCAAGAUCUUCGAUAGAUUGGACUUUGAUUAUAGGAUUCUCGACUUUUAAAUGAUUAAUGUUCAGUUUCAUUGACUCUAUUCACUCAGAGUGCAUCCUUCACCUCCUUGCUUAAAAUGAUACCCUUCACUACACAUGUGACUUUUGCCGCGAGGCGGACCAUGGGAGGAGCAAGUGUUUCUUUUGCUUAGUCAAACCAGUAAGCUCUUCAAAGUUUUCAUCUACC
rnacentral:lncRNA from 1 species